rnacentral:rRNA from 1 species
AGUAGUCGAUUAUGUGUCUCGAUCAAAGACUACUAUUGUUACAAGUUUCAAAUGCGUCGUGGUGUAUUUAACACCAUGCUAUAUGGUAAACUACUGUUCCAACAAUAUGUUAUCGACAUGUACAUCAAGGUUGAAACCUCUAGGUUAGACUAUAUAAGAAAUCACCAGAAACAAAUACGCUCUGGCCUAUAGCAAGGUGUUGUUGAUAGCCUUCAAGCUGGGGAAAACCGUGCGGAUGCUGUGGGGAAAUGGAUUGUACUUCCUACACCAUUUAUUGGGGGAAGAAGAGAUAGGAGAUGA